rnacentral:rRNA from 1 species
UCCGUAGGUGAACCUGCGGAGGGAUCAUUACCGAGUUUACAACUCCCAAACCCCUGUGAACAUACCUUAAUGUUGCCUCGGCGGAUCAGCCCGCGCCCCGUAAAACGGGACGGCCCGCCAGAGGACCCAAACUCUAAUGUUUCUUAUUGUAACUUCUGAGUAAAACAAACAAAUAAAUCAAAACUUUCAACAACGGAUCUCUUGGUUCUGGCAUCGAUGAAGAACGCAGCAAAAUGCGAUAAGUAAUGUGAAUUGCAGAAUUCAGUGAAUCAUCGAAUCUUUGAACGCACAUUGCGCCCGCUGGUAUUCCGGCGGGCAUGCCUGUUCGAGCGUCAUUUCAACCCUCAAGCCCCCGGGUUUGGUGUUGGGGAUCGGCUCUGCCCUUCUGGGCGGUGCCGCCCCCGAAAUACAUUGGCGGUCUCGCUGCAGCCUCCAUUGCGUAGUAGCUAACACCUCGCAACUGGAACGCGGCGCGGCCAUGCCGUAAAACCCCAACUUCUGAAUDUUGACCUCGGAUCAGGUA